rnacentral:rRNA from 1 species
CAGUAGCCACGGUAAUACGUAGGGUGCGAGCGUUAAUCGGAAUUACUGGGCGUAAAGCGUGCGCAAGCGGUUAUAUAAGACAGAUGUGAAAUCCCCGGGCUCAACCUGGGACCUGCAUUUGUGACUGUAUAGCUAGAGUACGGUAGAGGGGGAUGGAAUUCCGCGUGUAGCAGUGAAAUGCGUAGAUAUGCGGAGGAACACCGAUGGCGAAGGCAAUCCCCUGGACCUGUACUGACGCUCAUGCACGAAAGCGUGGGGAGCAAACAGGAUUAGAUACCCCAGUAGUCCCUGUCUCUUAUAC